UGAGUGGAUAGCACAAUGAAUAGCAGAGCAGGUUCCUUUUUAUGGAACCUCAGACGAUUCAGUACUUUAGUUCCAACAAGCAGAACUAUGAGGUUGUAUCCUUUGGGAUUUUCCAGACUGAAAAUUGUUUAUUCAAACUGGAACCCAAGAAACCUUCUCUUAAGUGACUUUGGUAAUGGAGUGCAGUCAUCUAUUAGAUAUCUAUUUCAGGAUGUCUUAAUUUUUAAAUCAGGAGAUAAUUUUCAAACAAAGGGCAUAGGCACUGAAACAGUCCUUACAGUCGACAGACUGCUUUGUCCUAGAAGACUGUCCUUUGAUUCAAAACACUCUCUUGACCCUGAUGAUGGAUUAAAGAAGAUAACAUUUCAUCAUAAGGCCUCCAAUGAAGAUAUGCUCACCAAGAAAACAAAACCAAUCCCUGUCAACUAUAAAAAACUGUCUCAGGUAUGUAGUUCUCUGAGUGAUGUGUUAGAUACAUUUUCAGAAGGACCUAUAUUUCCCAGUAGUGACUAUUUUUCAGCAAUGUGGAUAAUUGCCAAAAGGAUGUCUGAUGACCAGAAGUGUGUUGAAAGACAACUGAUGUUUAAUCACCCUGUAUUUAACCAGCUGUGUGAACAAGUGAUGAGAGAAUCCAAGAUCAUGCACUGUGACCACCUGCUGUUCAGUCUUCAUGCUAUGGUGAAGCUUGGAAUUCCUCAGAACGCUCUGCUGGUACAGACUUUGCUGAGGGUGGUCCAGGAACGUAUCAAUGAGUGUGAUGAGAAAUGUCUUUCAGUUUUGUCAAGUAUUUUAGAGGCAAUGGAGCCAUGCAAGAAUGUGGACGUUCUUCGAGCAAGAUUGCGGAUACUAGUUGAUCAGCAAGUCUGGAAAAUAGAGUGUGUCUUUACAUUACAGGCUGUGAUAAGAUGUGUUGGAAAAGAUGCACCAAUUGCUCUCAAAAGGAAACUGGAGAUGAAAACCUUGAGAGAAUUAGACAGAUUUUCUGAUUUGAAUAGCCAGCACAUGUUUGAGGCAUUAGAUGCCAUGAAUCACCACUCUAUUAUGUUUCUGGAUGAAUGCAGUAAGAUGGUCAUAGGUAAUAUCCAUGGGUGUCCUUUUAAAGUACUGAUCAACAUAUUGCAGUCUUGCAGAGACCUCCAGUACUGUAAUUUAGAUCUUUUUAAGGGAACAGCAGAUUAUGUGGCUACAACUAUUGACAUCUGGAAGUUAAAGCAAGUUCUCUUUCUCCUCAUUUUAUUUGACAACCUUGGCUUUCGACAUACUGAUUUGAUGGACUUGUUCAUGAAGAAAGUGAUAGCUGAUCCUUCCUCUCUAAACAUGAAAAGCAUUAUCUGUAUUCUUCAUGUGUAUUCUUCUCUCAAUCACUUCUACAAAUGCCAGACCUCAGAGUUCCAAGAAGUUAUGGCUACUUCUCUGACUGGUUAUCUCCACCACAUCUCUUCUGAAAAUCUCUUGAAUGCUGUGUGUUCAUUUUGCUUGAUGAACCAUUUUGCCAUGGCCCGUAUUAAUCCACUUCUCCAAAAGGACGUCAUCAAUGAACUGCUGAUGUCAGGUGAUGAGAGGAAUGCUCACAAGCUUCGUAUUUUGGCUGCUUGCCUAAAACUGGAUAUUUCUUGUCACAACACCAUAGAUUUGGCCCCACCGCUGCCGUCCACAGCAUUGUAUCCAAACGUGAAGGUGGCAGAUGCACUAAGUAGCUUUCUGGGAGAAGAAUACUUCUCAGAAAACAGACAGUUGCCACACAAUUACUAUAUCAAUUUUGAAGUAAGAAUGGAUAUUAACAGGAGUAAAGUGCUUCCAUUUUCCGACGUGGUAAUUUCUGCUGCAGAUACUCAAAGAGUAGCUGAAUUGUGUGUUCCUAGAUGUACUUACUGUUUGGAUUUAGCUCACCCCAGAGGAUUCCUUGCUAUGAAAAUGCGACAUCUGAAAGUAAUGGCUUUUCACAUAAUCUUGGUCUGCAAUUGGGAGGUGGAAAGGCUGGAGAUGCAGGAUGUAGUCACACUUUUGAAGACCAAACUCUACUCAGCUGAAGCCUUUCUUACUGCUGAUGUAAAUCUACAAAGCACGUGUUAA